UCCUUAGCACACUCAAGUGUGCAGCUAACAAGCCCUCUUUCCUCACACUUCGCUCACACUUCAGCCUCCAAUUCACUAUCCUCCUCAUUCUGCAGUUAGAAGCUUUUGGAGGAGCAGAAAUCUUCAUCCAGUGUCCUGCCAACUUCAAGGUAAGCUUUGGCUUAAACUUCUCCAUCUUCUUCCAUGAUUUUACCUGCAUUCAUUAAGCAACAACAAAUACUACCAUUCACUUUCAAACAUUUGAUACUCCAGUUAACAAUGGAAGAAGUAAAAUAAAUCAUCCGUUCAUUUCCCUGCCAAAACUUCAAGAAGUAAAUUUGGCUUUGACUCCUGCACUUAAAUUCUUAUACUCCUGCACGUAUUGAGAAAAGCCAACAACCUUCUAUUUCAGUUAUCAUCAACUCAACCACAGCAACAUCCCACCAAAACAAACAUUCAAGGUGAUCAAUCUAUCUCAGUUUACUCCCUCAUGUCACACAAGUCACAACAACAGAUUAUGUUUUUAUGAAAGAAGUGAAUAGGAAGCAGGAAGGCUUAUUCACAUAAGAAAUACAGAACUUAUUGAUGAGCAGUAUAAGCACCUAUAGAGACAACCAUAGGAUUUAGAACACUUAGCUUACGAUAGGAAGAACGACGGCUU
rnacentral:lncRNA from 1 species